UACGUAGGGCGCAAGCGUUUAUCCGGAAUUAUUGGGCGUAAAGAGCUCGUAGGCGGUUUGUCGCGUCUGCUGUGAAAACUGGAGGCUCAACCUCCAGCCUGCAGUGGGUACGGGCAGGCUAGAGUUCGGUAGGGGAGACUGGAAUUCCUGGUGGUAGCGGUGAAAUGCGCAGAUAUCAGGAGGAACACCGGUGGCGAAGGCGGGUCUCUGGGCCGAUACUGACGCUGAGGAGCGAAAGCGUGGGGAGCGAACAGG
rnacentral:rRNA from 1 species